rnacentral:tRNA from 14 species
GGAGAGAUGGCCGAGUGGUUUAAGGCGCAGCACUGGAAAUGCUGUAAUGCGGAAACGUAUUCCAGGGUUCAAAUCCCUGUCUCUCCGCUA